rnacentral:rRNA from 1 species
CGUAGGGUGCAAGCGUUAAUCGGAAUUACUGGGCGUAAAGCGUGCGCAGGCGGUUUUGUAAGUCAGAUGUGAAAUCCCCGGGCUUAACCUGGGAACUGCGUUUGAAACUACAAGGCUAGAGUGUGGCAGAGGGGGUGGAAUUCCACGUGUAGCAGUGAAAUGCGUAGAGAUGUGGAGGAACACCGAUGGCGAAGGCAGCCCCCUGGGUUAACACUGACGCUCAGGCACGAAAGCGUGGGGAGCAAACAGGAUUAGAUACCCUGGUAGUCCACGCCCUAAACGAUGUCAACUAGUUGUCGGGUCUUAACGGACUUGGUAACGCAGCUAACGCGUGAAGUUGACCGCCUGGGGAGUACGGUCGCAAGAUUAA